rnacentral:rRNA from 1 species
UACGUAGGGCGCAAGCGUUGUCCGGAAUUAUUGGGCGUAAAGAGCUCGUAGGCGGUUUGUCGCGUCUGCUGUGAAAGCCCGGGGCUCAACCCCGGGUCUGCAGUGGGUACGGGCAGACUAGAGUGCAGUAGGGGAGACUGGAAUUCCUGGUGUAGCGGUGAAAUGCGCAGAUAUCAGGAGGAACACCGAUGGCGAAGGCAGGUCUCUGGGCCGAUACUGACGCUGAGGAGCGAAAGCGUGGGGAGCGAACAGG